UACUACAGCCAUGCCCCCCUGAACGCGCCCGAUCUCGUCUCAUCUCGGAAGCUAAGCAGGGUCGGGAUUGGUUAGUACUUGGAUGGGAGACCACCUGGGACUACUGGGUGCUGUAGGCG
rnacentral:rRNA from 1 species